ACAUCAUGGUAACACAUCCCAUCCAAGCUGCAACAAUUUUUCACGAGUGACCAAACUGACGCAGCAGGCGAAAAUGUCGGACGCAGAGUUUGAAAAUUCCGUGUUGGCCAAUCUAAGGAGAGCAGAGGAAUGCAAACGGCUCAUACAGGAAUUGGAGGCGCAGGAAGAAAUUUAAUUUCGUCCUUAGAUCUACAAUUGCUCGUGUACUUAUAGUUUCUAUUAUAUUCUAUUAUAUAUAAUGUAUAUUUACAAUAAAAAAAUCUAUUUAUUAU